rnacentral:rRNA from 1 species
AGAUGCUAAUACCGCAUAACAACUUGGACCGCAUGGUCCGAGCUUGAAAGAUGGCUUCGGCUAUCACUUUUGGAUGGUCCCGCGGCGUAUUAGCUAGAUGGUGGGGUAACGGCUCACCAUGGCAAUGAUACGUAGCCGACCUGAGAGGGUAAUCGGCCACAUUGGGACUGAGACACGGCCCAAACUCCUACGGGAGGCAGCAGUAGGGAAUCUUCCACAAUGGACGAAAGUCUGAUGGAGCAACGCCGCGUGAGUGAAGAAGGGUUUCGGCUCGUAAAACUCUGUUGUUAAAGAAGAACAUAUCUGAGAGUAACUGUUCAGGUAUUGACGGUAUUUAACCAGAAAGCCACGGCUAACUACGUGCCAGCAGCCGCGGUAAUACGUAGGUGGCAAGCGUUGUCCGGAUUUAUUGGGCGUAAAGCGAGCGCAGGCGGUUUUUUAAGUCUGAUGUGAAAGCCUUCGGCUCAACCGAAGAAGUGCAUCGGAAACUGGGAAACUUGAGUGCAGAAGAGGACAGUGGAACUCCAUGUGUAGCGGUGAAAUGCGUAGAUAUAUGGAAGAACACCAGUGGCGAAAGGCGGCUGUCUGGUCUGUAACUGACGCUGAGGCUCGAAAGUAUGGGUAGCAAACAGGAUUAGAUACCCUGGUAGUCCAUACCGUAAACGAUGAAUGCUAAGUGUUGGAAGGGUUUCCGCCCCUUCAGUGCUGCAGCUAACGCAUUAAGCA